rnacentral:misc_RNA from 1 species
UUAAGUUCAGCGGGUAGUCCCGCCUGAUUUGAGGUCAAGUUGGUAGUGAUUGUCUCUUGCAAGACGGUUGGAAGCGAUUCCCAUAUGUUCGCUAAGCCAAGGCGUAGAUGACUAUCACACCAAGGCCGCAAGGGCUUCGCUAAUGUAUUCAAGGAGAGCGGAUCGGCCAGGGACCCGCAAGCUCCCAAAUCCCAGCCCAG